rnacentral:tRNA from 1 species
ACAUGUGUGGUGAAACGACAUCAUGCUUGCCUUCCAUUAAUCAGUUAGCAAGCGGCCGGGGGUCGACUCCCCGUGCGUGUA